rnacentral:rRNA from 1 species
CAAAGAUUUAUCGCUGGAAGAUGGCCUCGCGUCUGAUUAGCUAGUAGGCGGGGUAACGGCCCACCUAGGCGACGAUCAGUAGCCGGACUGAGAGGUUGACCGGCCACAUUGGGACUGAGAUACGGCCCAGACUCCUACGGGAGGCAGCAGUGGGGAAUAUUGGGCAAUGGGCGCAAGCCUGACCCAGCAACGCCGCGUGAAGGAAGAAGGCUUUCGGGUUGUAAACUUCUUUUAAGAGGGAAGAGCAGAAGACGGUACCUCUUGAAUAAGCCACGGCUAACUACGUGCCAGCAGCCGCGGUAAUACGUAGGUGGCAAGCGUUGCCCGGAUUUACUGGGUGUAAAGGGCGUGCAGCCGGGCUGACAAGUCAGAUGUGAAAUCCCGCGGCUCAACCGCGGAACUGCAUUUGAAACUGUUAGUCUUGAGUACCGGAGAGGUCAUCGGAAUUCCUUGUGUAGCGGUGAAAUGCGUAGAUAUAAGGAAGAACACCAGUGGCGAAGGCGGAUGACUGGACGGCAACUGACGGUGAGGCGCGAAAGCGUGGGGAGCAAACAGGAUUAGAUACCCUGGUAGUCCACGCUGUAAACGAUGGAUACUAGGUGUGCGGGGACUGACCCCCUGC